CAAAGUUUAAUAAUUGAAUAGCUCAGGCACUAAACUCUUCCAUAUUAUUAAAAUACUAUUCUAAUAUGUCUCAUUUGUCAAAGAUGGAAAAGUCUUGAUAUGACAUAAGGGUUUCAAUCCCAAUAGGAGUAUUAACGGUAACAAUGAAAAUAACAUAGCAACAUGGUUUCUGUUGAAUGCCUGCCACAUGGCAGCAACUGCUUUGAUAAUUUAAGAAUUAUAUCUUAUGUUGAUUAUAAUCCUUAUAAUGGCUUCCUGGGUAAGAAAGGUUUAUUCCUGUUUUACAUUUGACGAGGAGACUAGGGUUCAGAGACGGUGCAGAAGUGAGUUACACUUUUGCCAACCAGGCCAGAAGAUGAAAGCUGCUGGAUUGGGAAAUGCUUUUGUAUCAAAAGCACAAAAUGAAGUGGCUAGUGUUACUUGUUGGAAAAAAGUUAACUUUGGCAAGCAUAAAUAUAAUUCAGUAUUUGGGCAAUACUUGUAGGAGGGUAACAGAGUGGGUUAUGUGAAUUCUCCAAAAUGCCAUCAUGAAAAUUUUGAUGAUGAAAAUCACCUAAAAUUGCUAAUUACCUGUCUUAGCCUGUCUAGGGCUACAAAGUACCAUAUGCUGAGUGGCUCAUAAACAAUAGAAAUUUAUUUCUCACAGUGGAGGCUGGAAGUCAGAGUGCCAGAAUGGUCAAGUUCUGGUGAGGGCUUUUCCAGGCUGCUGUCAACGCUUUGCAUCCUUAGGUGGUGGCAAGAGAGCUAGAAAGUUCUUCGGAGUCUCUUUUAUUGUAUUUUAUUUUUUGGAGACAGAGUCUCACUCUGUCUCCCAGGCUGGAGUGCCGUGGCACGAUCUCAGUUCACUGCAACCUCCACCUCCCAGGUUCAAGCAAUUCUCAGGCCUCAGACUCCUAAGUAGCUGGGAUUACACGUGCCCACCACCACACCUGGCUAAUUUUUGUAUUUUUAGUGAGACAGGGUUUUGCCAUGUUGGCCAGGCUGUUCUCCAACUCCUGACUCCAGGUGAUCUGCCUGCCUCGGCCUCCCAAAGUGCUGGGAUUACAGGCAUGAGACACUGGGCCCAGCCUCUGGAGUCUCUUCUAUAAGGAUACUUACUAAUCUCAUUCAUGAAGACUCCACUCUCAUGGCCUAAUCACCUCACAAAGGCUCCACCCCUUAAAACCAUCACAUUGGGAUUAGGAUUUCAACAUACAAAUUUUGGGGGGACAUAAACUUUCCAUCCCUAACAUUACCCAAAUAGUAUCUAUAUAGUCAUUUCUAAAUAUACACGUAUUUAGAAAUUUCUAAAUAGCCAGUAAACAUACAACUGACUUGGCCUUGAUAUAACUGUUCUCAUUUUCUUUUAUUUUCAUUCUACAUGACAUACUUUGGGUAAUUAUAAAAUAAUUAAAGUUAGUUGAUAAAGUAUGGAAUUAGAAUAAUUUUCUAUUACUAUCUAAGCCAUGAAAUGAAUUAGGAGCUGUUGUUUUCAGUGAAACGUCUUCUAGUUUUUAAAGUGCAUUGUCCAAUUCUUUUUUAUUUUGUGAAGAUUUUAAAAACUUAAAAAAAAUCUUCAAAUUGUUUGUGCCUUGCGUUUCUUUAAAUCUUGUGUUUAAACAUCAUGUGCUGCUAGUUGCUAGUCAUUUUCUCUAUCCCCUGCACCAGACCCUCUCUUUCUCAAGAAAGGAUAUCCAGGGAUCCGGGUCCCAGUUAGUCAAGGAGAUAUAAGAGGAAGGCUACGAGGCUUUCUGGGAAACAUUUUCUUUUUCCAAGAGAGAAGUGUGCAGAGGGAAAAGGUCCCUUCUCAGUUUGGCUCCCUGUUUGUGUUUUAGAUCUGGUCCUGUGAGGCUGCCUGGCUUGGACUGUGAGGGCAUCUCUCAACAAUGAGGUGACAAGCCUGGGGACGAAAAUCCACAGGCGAGAAGGUGGCAGAAUGGAGAGACGGUCCUUCAUGACUUCUUUGAGUCACCAGGUCCAGAUUUCCCGCCAACCUCCAGUCUUCUUGUUAUGUGAUCUGAUAUUAUUUACUGCAGAGGCCACUGAGUGGCUGCUCUGUUACUUGUGUCUGAAAAUCCAGUUCACUAAAUUAAUCAAAAUAUGGCACUCUUCUUUUGAAACCUUGCUCCAGAACAAAGUGGAAGGUAAUGAUGGGGUGCUUUUCAAAGUUCCAGGGAGGUGUCCCUACACAGCAGAGAGCUGUCCAGAGGAAUGUAGAUGUUGGCUGUGGGGAGAUCUGAGCUGCCGGAUUCAGUCAGAACAGGUGUCCUCUCCCUUAUUUUAUCUUAAACAUGCAUGUCAUUUUUGCAUGCUACUCUAUGCGGUUCUUUCAGCCAGGGAACAUUGCUGAGCACCCGCUGAUGUGCUUUAUGGAGCACAGACUGCAGGGUGCGAGAGGCGGAGGUGAGACGUGCUAGGCCUGAAUUCAAGAGGGGGAGCAGCCACAGUCCCCGCGAGGCCGGGGUGGCCUGUUGUAAUGACGUCUUAACCGCUGACCUAAGUGGAUCUGCUCCUCUCCCGCCGCCCGCUCCCUGCCAGCAGCACAGGAUGGCGGCUGGCUCUCCCGAGUGGGCGCAGGUGAGCCACGCUUCGCCCUCCCGGCUGGGCGCAGGUGAGCCACGCUUCGCUCUCCCGGGUGGGCGCAGGUGAGCCAUUGUUUGCUCUCCCGGGUGGGCGUAGGAGAUCCAUGCUUUGCUCCCCCAGGUGAGCCGCGGCUCGCUCUCCUGGUGAGGGCAGGUGAGCCACGCUCUAUGGGAAUCCUUCGAAUCUUCUUUCAAUUUCCAUCGCCUCCUUGUAUUUAUUUGGGAGUACUUUUAAAAAUGAAGCCUCUGCACAAUGAUGUAAUAAGCGUUUAUCGAACACCACUGGUCGGAGCUGGGGCCCAGGUGGUAGUUCCCCGCCCCAGGUGGUAGUUCCCCGCCCCAGGUGCCGCGUCCACGCCCCGCGCGCCGAACGCACGCACGCACGCACGCACUCACGCACGCACGUACGGCGCGAGCCCGAGGGCAACAGCAGCGCGCAGGCGCACAUCGGUCCCCGCGCUUUUCGGAGGUCGCCGGCGUCCCCGACCCGCCGCAGGUGAAAACCGGCAGAAAGACAUUAAGAGAUUUUCCUACAGUCACUACUGGCAGAUGAUAGAGCCAGGAUCUGAACGCAGGCAGCCUGGCUCCAGACCUUCUGCUCUUAACUCCUGUUUUGCAUCAAGAAUAGAAUCUUAUGAAAGGCCUGUACAGUGCUUGAUACUGAGUAGGCACUCAGUCAGUAUUUUAGUAGCUAUUAUUCCAAAGGAUACUGUAUUCUAGGUACUAAGACAAUGUGAAUGGAAUGGAAAACAAUUCCUCCCUGCAGAAGCCAACUAUCUAGUUAGAAAGACAGAUAAUCACAUUAUUAAAAUAAUCAGAACAUUGGCAAAAUAAAGAAGAUUGAAAUGCAGUUCAUAUGACAGUGCUAAUUAAUCAUACUUUUUAGAUCUGGGAAAGGCCAUAAAGGUUAAAUUGACUUGGAAAUGUAAACAAGACAAUGGUUGUGUCACUGAUCAGUGAUGACCAGUUUUUGGUUAUCCAUAUUUGCCAUUUAAAUGAUUGAAUUGAAAGGAAGAAGUAAGACUUGGAAAAUGAAUAUUGAAGGAAAGGUGAAGAUGGAAAGGAGAAGGGGGUUUAUUCUGAGAACAGUGACUAGAACUCGGAGGUAUGGUAGAAAUUUCAGGAUAACAGAUGAUAAAGUGGAAUGAAGCCAUGGAGAGGAAGAGAAUGAUAAUACUAAUUGUGAAAGUUUGUGUCAGGUGUUUUCCGAGUCACCUUUCUUUCAGUUUUUCAUUUCCAGUAUCGUAUAAAUGAGUUUAACAUCAAAAUGGUAUAGUAAAAAAAAAGGAUGAACUCCUUGACAGAAGAGGAUAGCAGCAUCAAGGAGCAUUGUGUACAUGCAGAAGUGCACAGUACCUGGAGUGAAACUGCUUGUGUUCGAUCACACACAUAACUGGCUGUGUGAUCUCAAAUAAGAAAACUGAAGAACCAGCUGGGCACAGUGGCUCAUGCCCGUAAUCCCAGCACUUUGGGAGGCUGAGAACCUCUAAAAUGCAGACCUCCAGCUCUAGAUCUGUGCACCUGAGUGAAUGGCAGAAGAAUUACUUUGCAAUUACAUCUGGCACAUGUACAGGACGGAAGGCAGAUGCAUACCGUGCACAGAUAUUACGCAUUCAGUAUGCAUGGGCAAACUCUGAGAUUUCCCAGGUCUGUGCUACCAAACUGUUCAAAAAAUAUGCAGAGAAAUAUUCUGCAAUUAUUGAUUCUGACAAUGUUGAAUCUGGCUUGAAUAAUUAUGCAGAAAACAUUUUAACUUUGGCAGGAUCUCAACAAACAGAUAGUGACAAGUGGCAGUCUGGAUUGUCAAUAAAUAAUGUUUUCAAAAUGAGUAGUGUACAGAAGAUGAUGCAAGCUGGCAAAAGAUUCAAAGACUGUCUGUUGGAACCUGCUCAUGCGUCAGUGGUAAUCCAUAAGGAGGCCACUGUCUUUGAUCUUCCUAAAUUUAGUGUUUGUGGUAGUUCUCGAGAGAGUGACCCAUUACCUAACUCAGCUCAUGAUCGAGAUAGGACCCAAGACUUCCCAGAGAGCAAUCCUUUGAAACUCCUUCAGAGUGCCCAGCCACCUGUGGUGACUAACACUGCUAAGACUUGUCCUACAUUCUCAGCACCUGUAGGUGAGUCAGCUACUGCAAAAUUCCAUGUCACACCAUUGUUUGGAAAUGUCAAAAAGGAAAAUCACAGCUCUCCAAAAGAAAACAUAGGACUUAAUAUGUUCUUAUCUAACCAGUCUUGUUUUCCUGCUGCCUGUGAAAAUCCACAGAGGAAGUCUUUUUAUGGUUCUGGCACCAUUGAUGCACUUUCCAAUCCAAUACUGAAUAAGGCUUGUAGUAAAACAGAAGAUAAUGGCCCAAAGGAGGAUAGCAGCCUGCCUACAUUUAAAACUGCAAAAGAACAAUUAUGGGUAGAUCAGCAAAAAAAGUACCACCAACCUCAACGUGCAUCAGGGUCUUCAUAUGGUGGUGUAAAAAAGUCUCUAGGAGCUAGUAGAUCCCGAGGAAUACUUGGAAAGUUUGUUCCUCCUAUACCCAAGCAAGAUGGGGGAGAGCAGAAUGGAGGAAUGCAGUAUAAGCCUUAUGGGGCAGGACCUACAGAACCAGCACAUCCAGUCGAUGAGCGUCUGAAGAACUUGGAGCCAAAGAUGAUUGAACUUAUUAUGAAUGAGAUUAUGGAUCAUGGACCUCCAGUAAAUUGGGAAGAUAUUGCAGGAGUGGAAUUUGCUAAAGCCACCAUAAAAGAAAUAGUUGUGUGGCCCAUGUUGAGGCCAGACAUCUUUACUGGUUUAAGGGGACCCCCUAAAGGAAUUUUGCUCUUUGGUCCUCCUGGGACUGGUAAAACUCUAAUUGGCAAGUGCAUUGCUAGUCAGUCUGGGGCAACAUUCUUUAGCAUCUCUGCUUCAUCCUUAACUUCUAAAUGGGUAGGUGAGGGGGAGAAAAUGGUCCGUGCACUGUUUGCUGUUGCAAGGUGUCAGCAACCAGCUGUGAUAUUUAUUGAUGAAAUUGAUUCCCUGUUAUCUCAACGGGGAGAUGGUGAGCAUGAGUCUUCUAGAAGGAUAAAAACAGAAUUUUUAGUUCAAUUAGAUGGAGUAACAACAUCUUCUGAAGAUCGUAUCCUAGUGGUGGGAGCAACAAAUCGGCCACAAGAAAUUGAUGAGGCUGCCCGGAGAAGAUUGGUGAAAAGGCUUUAUAUUCCCCUCCCAGAAGCUUCAGCCAGGAAACAGAUAGUAAUUAAUCUAAUGUCCAAAGAGCAGUGUUGUCUCGGUGAACAAGAAAUUGAACAGAUUGUACUGCAGUCUGAUGGGUUCUCAGGAGCAGACAUGACACAGCUUUGCAGAGAGGCUUCUCUUGGUCCUAUUCGCAGUUUACAAACUGCUGACAUUGCUACCAUAACACCAGAUCAAGUUCGACCCAUAGCUUAUAUUGAUUUUGAAAAUGCUUUUAGAACUGUGCGACCUAGUGUUUCUCCAAAAGAUUUAGAGCUUUAUGAAAACUGGAACAAAACUUUUGGUUGUGGAAAGUAAAUGGGAUACUUGGAAUCAAGGCAUCUCUGUAGUACAGUCUUUUUUAUUUUUUAGCAUAGAAAGUUCGGGAUGUGUUAAUUGUGUUUUUUAGAAUAUAUUCUGAAUUCUGUACUUCAAAUAAUAGCACAGAUUUUGCAACUGAUUGACAUAGUGUAUGUUAAUGUAAGUUUUGCUUUCCAGUGAUUACCUGAUAUGUAAGCCUGUUUGAACAAAGUGAGAAUGAACUUUUGUUUCUAAGAAGUCUUUCUUUUGAAGCUAUAUAACAUGAAAAGUGUGCUCAAAUUUUUUUUAGUUGAAGAUUACAAAUAAAGUUGUGUCUGAUUAAUAUUCAUCUUUUAUUGAAGAAAGUGCCUUCUGAUGGCCACAUAAUUCUUAAUGUCAGCUAAUAUAAUGGUUUACAUUUGGACAAAGUAUUGGUUAGUGUUAUUUAAGUAGAUUUAAGAUCUCACUAAAAGCUAAAGUGCCAAUUUUUACUUUCUUCAGCCAAUUUGUUAUCUCUUUUAUGGUUUUUAAUUUUUAUCAGGACUAACAUUUUCAGAAAUAGCAAGGUGUGAUCUAGUAUUAGAGAGAUAUUCACAGAACUGAAAGGUUAAUUAAGAAUGUUGGUUAUUUUCAGGGAAGUGUGUGAUACUUAAUAUUGUAUUUGACACUACAGCCUGUAAUACUGCUCUCUUUCAAAAAUAAGUGUUUUCAGAUUUUUAUAACAGACUCAUUUUGUUUUAUGAAACAUGUUCAUUACAGAAACAUGAGAAAAUAGAGAUAAGUAAAAAGAAUAAAAGUCACUGUUAUCCUACCACUUUGCGGGACGCACUAUUAAUAUUUAAGCAUAGAUUCUUCCAGAUGUUUUGUUUUAUACAGCAGUAGGGUUGUAUAAUGUAUUCCCUCUUGUAGCCUGCUCUUUAAAGCGUAUCUUCACUUUCCAUGUUAACAUAAAUGUCCUUUUAUGAUUGUCUAGGAUUCCAUGGAUGGAUGGACUAUAAUUGAGUCAUCUGGUAGAGUACAUACAGGACAGGACGCUAGGUUGUUUAUCUUUUGUUUAUUGUAAAGGAACUCUGUGGGAUGCAUUUGGUGAUCUUUUUUAAAAAUGUAUAAAUUUCUUGAGUAAUUCUUGGAUUAAAGAAUAUGUACUUUUUAAA